UGCCACAACACGCUCGCUCUAACCCCAAAACUCUCACGUCAAAACAAAAAUAAAAAAUUGAUUUGUGACCACACCUAAGAUUUGACAUACAAAGUUUUGCCGGCAACAAAAAUUUUCGAUUGCGCAAGGGUUCGAUAAGUACGUUAACAAAAGUUAUCACGAAGGCUGCUAUACUGUUGGUGUACCGAAACAAGCAGUGUUGUUCUUCUUCACGAUAUUCUUGUUUCUAUGGAAAGCUUUGGUUCAACCUCAUAGACGAUAGACCGCCACCAUAGGGCUCAUCUGACCCGGCAGGUGCCAGAGACGACAAGGGCCUGGCGUGGUCAGAAGGGACAGUGGAGACUUUGGUCGGUAAAGGUGGUUCUGGUAAGAGAGUUGGCUUGCACUAACGGACGAUACACCUCCGCCACUAUAACAUCCCUUCUACGACGUGGGAAAACGAAGGCAGGACGAUGUAGCAGUAACGCUGCGCAGCAGCCGUCGAGGACUGUAGGAGUCCAUUGACCAGAUAAUAAAGCUUAUCUAAUCUGAAACCCUA
rnacentral:sRNA from 1 species